rnacentral:rRNA from 1 species
AAUACAGAGGGGGCAAGCGUUGUUCGGAAUUACUGGGCGUAAAGGGCGCGUAGGCGGCCUGCUAAGUCGAACGUGAAAUCCCUGGGCUCAACCCAGGAACUGCGUCCGAGACUGGUUGGCUCGAAUCCGGGAGAGGGAUGUGGAAUUCCAGGUGUAGCGGUGAAAUGCGUAGAUAUCUGGAGGAACACCGGUGGCGAAGGCGGCAUCCUGGACCGGCAUUGACGCUGAGGCGCGAAAGCCAGGGGAGCAAACGGGA